rnacentral:rRNA from 1 species
CUCGUAGGCGGUUUGUCGCGUCUGCUGUGAAAUCCGGAGGCUCAACCUCCGGCCUGCAGUGGGUACGGGCAGACUAGAGUGCGGUAGGGGAGAUUGGAAUUCCUGGUGUAGCGGUGAAAUGCGCAGAUAUCAGGAGGAACACCGAUGGCGAAGGCAGGUCUCUGGGCAGUUACUGACGCUGAGGAGCGAAAGCAUGGGUAGCGAACA